rnacentral:sRNA from 1 species
GGAUGGAAGGGUGAUGUGGCUGCAACAUUUGUUCACCCCAGGGUUGAUUCUGGGUGUCCCCUGCCUUCCUCACUGUUCCAUGUGCAUCCCUCCCAAAGCUGUGUGCUCGGUCCAAGAGGCCAGCCCUUCCCGUACAGAGACCAUUCCUCAUUGGAGGACAUAUGAGUAGCUGUUCUCCCUGCUAGAACCCCCAAACAAGCUCUCGAGAAUUCUCUGCUUUCUGUGCUGUUCUUUCUGCUG